AUUGACAGCACACCAGCUGACACGCUGGGGCCAGAUAGCUACCGGCAGAGGGCAGUACUCCCCGGAAACUCCGGAAAUCUUUUAUAUCAUUUUAUUUUGUAUAGGGUAAGUCGGGGGAAGAUGGCCAUAUGGGGAAGAUGGCCCACUCAAAUAAUUCCAAUGUUUAACGAUCGAUGGCGUUGCUGGUGCUGUAAUAUAGAUCCUAGUGGCAUCAGUUUGCUGUGUAGCAUGUGUAUUACGCACCACGAUUGUUCAAUAUGCCAAGAACGUAUACCCCGAAGCACGUUCGAUGCCGUGGCAAUUGGAGCCAAAAUGAUUUGAUACUUGCUAUCGAAGCUGUGAACCAGAACAAUUCCUCCGUCAGACAGGCUUCCAUGACAUUCGGCAUACCGCGAAAAACCCUAGAGGGCAAAACUAUUCCUUACCUACUGGUUUUUACUGUUUAUUUUUUGAAUUAAUUAAUGAUGAUUUCAUGUUUCAUUUUAGCACCAAUAAAUACUUACCUUA